UGCGUAGGCGGUUGGGUAAGUCAGACGUGAAAUUCCAGGGCUCAACCCUGAAACUGCGUUUGAUACUGCCUGACUAGAGUACUGGAGAGGAGACUGGAAUUCACGGUGUAGCAGUGAAAUGCGUAGAUAUCGUGAGGAAGACCAGUGGCGAAGGCGAGUCUCCGGACAGUAGCUGACGCUGAGGCACGAAGGCUAGGGGAGCAAACG
rnacentral:rRNA from 1 species